UCGCGCGGUAAUGCUCUCGUACAGCCUGGAGGGCCGGCUAAGGCCCCGGAGCUAUGUUGUGAAGUUUCUUAAGGCAAAUGGAUUGCUAGAUCCCGACCGGGACUUGUAUUCCGUGCUUGUAGUGACUGAGAAGGUAUUCAUGGAGAGGUACAUAUUCCCUCACAAGGAAGCUGCACCAUGCCUCGCUGGAGACUAUGCUGAUGCUUGCAAAGGGCUAAUGCCGACUAAUUUCAGAUUUACAUGAAGCAAGGAUGGGUUAUGGAAAUCGGUAACUGUGUAUGGCAUGACAGUUUUCACCAUUCAUAGUAAGCUGGAUUAUUGGUUGCAGCAUCAGAGAAAGGUAGGUCACAAGCUGUAGGUGCAUGCCAACUUCAAAGGUUAGAGACCCCAGAUCUGGGAGAGGCAGUGCUGAUUGAGGAGGGCAGCUGGAAGACGUGACGACCCAACAACCUGGAACAUCGACGCUUAAGCUUUGGUGGGAGCAUGGAGUGUACAGCCUUGCUUGUUUGUGCUAUGGCCCGAUAAGCCGACCGUGCGUAUCAGACCCCCUGGGAGUGGAUGCAGGACACUGGAUUCGUCGUCAGAUGAAGCACAUUUCAUCAACUCCCUUCCGUGAUGCCUCGAACGAAUUAGAAGAAGUACAACUGCCUGAAGAAAUACAGGAGUACAUUAACACCAAAUAUCCUUCAGUGCACAACAUUCAGGAGAAGAAAAUGCUCGAACAUUGCAGUCAGAAGUUUUGGCAAACAAUUCUGAAAAAACUCCAUACCAACUGCGAAAACUUACAUCGAGGAUGUCCACAGCUCAGACUACACCAACAGUGCCUCCAGUGAUACAAGUCAUUCCAGAGCUACAAAAUUGCCAUCUACUUCAAACAUCCAGCUGUCUUCUACUGCGACAAGUACUUGUGUCCCACAGUUUACAAAAGAAUUGAAACCAGAGAUAGACUCAUUCAUAUCUUUCUUCGAUUUCUUGGAUUUUCCUAUGCCUGCUAAACAUCCUUCAAGUUAUGAUUCGGAAAUCAGCAAUUUACAGGUUGAUUUGUUCAUCCACAAAUUCUCUGAAUGCUUAAAUCUGGACAUUUCGGCAAACAAUAAGUUUCUUUUCACUAUCGGCUCACCAAGUUCUCAGGUGUUAGAAUGGCAAGAGGUUUUCAACAAAGACCAAACCAACAAAAUUUACAGCGAUAAUCAGACUACACCUUCGCAAGGAUUUCCGGCGAUGCGCAUUCAGUGGGAGGAGACGUUCCCGUCGACGACGAGGUGCCUACGGUGACUUCUUAAAUUUCAAGAUGAUAUGCCGGCUCAGUCUUUCGGAGGUGCUCAUAGGGGUAGGGUGUGCGUGUGUGCGUUCAUAGGACGAGUGUAUGCGCGUGUAUAUGAGCGCUCGCGUCUGUACUGUGUUAAAAAAAAAUUUGAAGGUCCUCCAAGUAGCUGUUAAUAAACCCCAUGGCAGUAAGAGGGCUCUGAAAUUGUUCAUCAUGGACUACUCGCCGUCUUGGCCGCCAAAUUGCUACUCGAGCUAGUCACUCUAAUCUACUAGCCCCGGCCCGGCCCAGUCGCGUUUGUACCAGGCAAAUCUUCACGAGUCUCCUCGUCUCGCCAUCGUUCCCCAUUCCCUCGCUGCCGGCGCCGCCGCGCCGCCGCCUGCGCCAUGCUCCGCCUCUGGAGCUGCAUCCUCGCCCAUCUCCUCUCCUCUCCCGCCAUUCUGAGUACCAAGCUGGUAAUUCCUAUUUUUGUGUUCUUUUCCUAACUGGAUGAUAUCUUUUAUCUGCUAUUAACUUUUGAACACCAACGUGUCGAUGUAUUAUUCAGUAGAGAAGAAAGCAUCGCCUGCAAUCUCUGAAAAUGAUAAGUCCUGGAAUAUAUUUGUGCUUCUGACUUCCGUUUAAGAUCAUGGAAAUUGGAUGUGGGGAUGGAUCAAUUUUCUGUUGAAACCAGGACCCAGCAAACCAGAUAGCAAAAAACUGCCCUGUCCUGGUUUCCAUUAAAAACAUUGCUAUGAUCUGCUUUCAUGCUGAAUUCUAUCAGCAUUUUUGUUUCAUCGUCUUGUUUGUUCCAUCAUAUUUCAAUUAGUACUAAAAUUGCAGUUCAAUGUUUGAUGUUUAGGCUAUGCUUAGAAAAUGUAUUUCUGUUGGGUGUACAUUCGCCUUUUUCUUCUUCCCUGUAUUCUUCAAAGAUUGAUAUGCUUUGUUCCUAAAUUCUAUGGUUGACAUUUGCUGGAAACUUUUAACUGUGAAAAGCUGACCUAUCCGAGACUAAAUCAUGAUUGUAAAAUGAAUUAAAUCGUGAGAACUAAACCAAAGAAGACGUCAUGAGUUAGUCUUAUCAUAUCUCUCUACUAUUAAGUUUGAAAGGAGGAAUACGACACCCAAUCCAUUCAAGGAACUGCAAGUCCAGAACAUGCAGUGAGUUAACAUACAAUUAUGUUAGUUGCAGCUAAAAUCAGGGGUGUGCCCAGCAAAUGGUGAUUAAUAUGCCACCAUUUCAUGUUAAAAUACAAAGCAAAUGAACAUUUGGAGAUUUGUUCAGAGAGGCUAAAUGGUGUUAGUUUCUAUUUCAAGUAUCAACACUGAACCUGAUACUUGCAUGGCAGAUAACUUUCACACUAGAACACUUGUUUCGCGCUAACUCUGGGAUAGAUACUCAUGCUCUGAACUUUUCUUUUGUUCACUGGGAAACUUCUGGUGUUAUAAAUGGUCUUCAUUUUCACUCUACCUCUAGGGGCACUUUGUGGAAUGGGCUGUUGAAAGCUUUGGCAACAAAGCUGCUAUUCAGUUUACCGUUGAAUUUAGCAGCUGCUAAUCCAUGCAGUUUCUUUAUUAAAAAAAGGAAAGCCCCAAAUGCAAGCAGGGGUUAUAUAACCUGUGAAUUAUGUCUUGCCCUCUUCAUGUGUACAGUUAUGAUGUGCCCAAGAACUGGAGGUCAUGAUCUUGCUCACCAGCAGCCUCCACAUUAAUCCAUGGAGAUUAGCAACUAUGACUGUCCCGUCUUUGCUGCGGAAGAUCUGGACCCUCGGAUCAGAAGAUGCACCCUCAGAUGGUGUAGGCCUUGCUAGUCAUGUCCUGAGUCCUCACGCAGGCCUUGCUCGUCACAUGGUGUAGCAGCUGCAGCCCUGCUCCACCUCCUUUACAAUGCUGCGAGGUGCUUAAAUCUAAGCCGUACUGUUUCCUUGGUCGUUGUUUGGUAACUCGGUCAUGUUGAAUAUAUUACUAUAUGAAUUAAAACCACCACAGGAAUUAUGGAACGGAGUAAGUAGCAAUUACCCACAUGUAUAAUGUUGUCGAAGUGUGGAACCAUGCGUCUCAUGAAAUUUUGUUGUUGAUUUUUCUUCUACCAUGCCGACAACUAUUAUUAUUUGGUGUUUAUACACCAUCUUAUUAUUAUUUGUUUCUCGAACCACAACUUUCAUGCCUUCUAGUAAAAAGUAACGAUAAAAAUAAGAAUCUGAGAGAAAUAUGUACCAAAAAAUGGAACCGUGUUGUAGGACAUGACUAGAUUUUGUAAUUACCGACAAAGCCCCCUGUCAUCUCAAAUUGAUAAGCUAACUAACGCUAAAUUUACGUAGAGUAAUUUUAAUGAAAUAGUUAGUAACCCAACUUUGUAUCUUUCUAUUUUUCAGCUUGACUUCCUUUUCUCCAAUAAAUUUCGCAACUUUGAGUUUUUGGUCUUUCUAGUCUACUAUGGAGAAUGAGGGAUUAAUUCCUUCAUAAAUAACGCAUCCAAGAAUUAAUAUGUGGCAAUGUGCUCCAAGAAAAACGCACCGAAUAUUGAUACAAUGAAUUUUCAAUAACGCGGCUGAACUUGAAACGCGUCGUUCACGCAAGCAAAUGCAGCCUUGUAACCGAAAACAAGGAAGCAAAAUAGGUAUUGUUCAUGAACCAGACGUAAAUGCAUACAUAUGUGAAAUUAAUGAUAUUCGGGUAUCCUGACCAAGAGCUGGAUAUGUUGAACUAGUACUAUUUGCAUUCAUGUAUGUUAAUCGGUUUACCUGAGAAUGCAUGGGUUUACAUGUCGCAAAUCAACAUGCAUAUAUGCCAGAGAUGAAUACUCCCUCCACCCCAACUUGGCAGUCUUUUCUUGAUCCGGGCGGUACUAAAUUUUCAGUUAGCAUCGACAUGGUAACCGAUUUCUAACAUCCAACACACAAUCUGAUCUAAUUGCAAGUCUAGGUGACAUGAUAUUGCAUUGUUGAUAUACAAUGAUGCAUGAUAAUCCCACCGUUUGAAAUAUGGGUAUUGUUUUUCUUGGGAGAAAAUAAGUCAAAGGAUUAAAGCAGCUCUAAUCAAACUCCUAAAAAGGGUUAAACUCCACAAAAAAUUCUGUUUUGAGAAGUCAAGUUGCACCUACAAACUCUCAAGGUUUACUCCUCAAAGUUGUAAAGUCCCGCCUACCACCAAAGGCCCUGAUUCUGAUUCUGACAGGAAAGGAAUUGCCAGCCGCCUACACAACCCCACCGACCACUCCUGGCGACGCUACAUUGCCAGAGUUGGCGAACGCGUCGACGCCAAAGAAGCGAAUGGGAACGGUCCACCGCGCCAUCCACGGCCGCGACUGGUAAGGCCCUCAACGAGGCGAUAGCAAAGAAGGGGAAGAAGCCCUUCGCUCCAACGCCUUCUCCAUGUUUGGUAGCUCGCAUAGCUUCCACUCCAUAUCCGGCCACCCCCUCACCUCCUCCUCCGCCACCUACGGCCACCGCAGUCGUCGAUGAUGAUCAUGCCCGCCAAGUGUCUGCCUGAAAGUGCGGGGCGAACAUGAUGUUGCAAGUUCCAUAUCCCAAUCGGAUGAGUCGCACAUACUCAGACUCGUUGACAUGGAGUUGUCAAUGGCCGAUGAUUAUGAGAGGUUUGAAGAUGACAAGGGUGAGGAGAAUGACCUCGAAGCAGAGGAGGUCGAUGAUCAAGUGGAGACACGAACAAACAUUAAGAAGAUAAGGUCAACGAAGUACAGUAGCCAAGAGAACAUUGCCUUGUGGCUUGCUUGGAUGAAUAUCUCGCUUGAUGCCUUGGUUGGUGCGGAUCCCACACCGAAGGAGAAGCCUGGAGUAGGAUUGAGGAAUACCACUCCAACAACGUGACCGUCCAUUCCCACCGCACUCAAGGUUCUCUUGCCCCAUCGAUGGAGCGUGAUACAAGAGCAGUGUAGCCGAUGGCCCGGUGCGCCGAUCAAGUCAGCAUUGCACCACCGAUUUCUGCUAUGGUGGUGUCGGGUGACGAAAGUUGGCAACAAGCUCAGAGGACUCCUCGGUGACGAUUGUAGCUUCCUUCGAUAUCCAUUAUUGUGGCGUCGGAGGCGGAUGGCGGAAGCUGGCAUCAAGCUCGGGGGAUUCUUCGGUCUUGAUUGUAAUUUUCUUUUUUGCCUGUUGUCUUUUUAGUUUUGUUAGAUGAGUGUCCGCAUGACUUCUACCUUAUUGUUUGAAAAGAAACAAGAAUCCGAUAUAAAUAAUUCGGUA